CUGAUGGCGACCGGCGCACGGGUGCGUAACGCGUAUGCAACCUACCUGUAACAGGGGGAUAACACUGAGAAAUCGGUACUAAUACCGCAUAACACUUUGAGAGGCAUCUCUUGUGGUUGAAAGUUUCGGCGGUUACAGAUGGGCAUGCGUUGUAUUAGCUGGUUGGUAAGGUAACGGCUUACCAAGGCGACGAUACAUAGGGGGACUGAGAGGUUAACCCCCCACAUUGGUACUGAGACACGGACCAAACUCCUACGGGAGGCAGCAG
rnacentral:rRNA from 1 species